AUAUAACAGGAGCGUGUGCAUUUGGCGCGUGUUAUUCGCACACACACACAUAUUUAUAUAUGUAUAUACACACACACAUGAGCAACGUCCCAUGAGAGAAAGGCAAGCUGCUGGUGGUGUGGUAAACAAAAAAAUACAAAAUGUGCAUGGGGAAAACGAUAUCAACAAUAACAACGACAAUGGCAUGGAAUUAAUGAAGGAAAAAACAUAACAAAAUAGCGGCAGAGCUGUCGAACUUACCAACGCAACCGCCGCCGACUGCUCCCCACUGAGAGCAAACCAUUUUUCUCGCAAAUAUCAAACAAAAGCAACAAAACAAAAACAAUAACAACAAUUAGGUAAUGUUUUUACGCCAUUCUCUUUUGCGUCGUCGUUUCGUUCAGUUGCGAGAGUUUCGAUACGCGAGAGCGAGAGAGCAACGCGCGCGCUCAUUUCAAUGCCGCUGAUGUUUUUUUUUUCUUAUGUUUUCUUCUUUUUUUUGUUUGACUUUUGUUUUGAAACAGUUUUUACAUGGAAAGUUUUUGUGUGUUUUAGAGAGGAAAAUUUUGGUGCUUGUAAUGUUCUGAUUAGAAUGUUGACCAAACCAUAUAUACACAUACUUCUUACACAUACUUAAACAUUUAGUCUAAAUUCGAUUUGUUGGGCCAUUGCAUUUGAAAUUGCCGAAAAAAUGUAAAUGCCACACGCAAACAAGUUUUUGUAAAAAGCUACAAAAGGAGGAGUGUAAAAAUUAAUUGAUGUGCGUGUGCAAACAAAAAAAUAAAAAUUAAAAAAAAAAAAAUAAAAAACUAAUAAAUCUAAACAAACGAUUGUAACAAAUUGAUCAAAAAAAAAAAAGGAAACAAAUUAUAGUCUAGUUACCAUGUUGCAUAAAAUUGAUGAAAAUGCCGCGCCAACUGUAACGUCAACACCAACAACAACAACAACUGCAACAACAAGUACAACAAUUAUGGCCCCGGCAGAAACAACUGG
rnacentral:sRNA from 1 species